rnacentral:lncRNA from 11 species
CAUUUGUAAAUGGGAUGUUUCUAAUUAUAUAUGCCUAUAUUGUUUUUUUUAGUAUGUUGAUUUGCCUUUACUUUAAUACAAAAACCAGAAGCAAAUUCCAGUAGGAAGCUGUCUGUGACAUCACAUGAUGUUGCCAAGGAUUUCUGGAGAGGGAAAAAAAGCUGAAUUGAGAGAGGAGUUAUUGUUGUAGCCUUCAGAGCUACUGUCUUUUUUCAAGGUUGCACCACAGAGUCCUUGAAAAGCUGGCUUUUCUCUCUGUGUAGCCGUCUGCUCUUGAGAAGAGAGAUCGAGAAUUGACUCCUUUAUCAUGUUCUGGUCCAACCUCAGUUAUUCAAAACAUGCUGAGCAACAAACAGGUGCUUUACUGAUCCAGAUGAUAUCAGGAUUAGUGACCUUCACCAAUGGUUUCCUCUGUGGAAGGCACAAGUUCAUGUUCUCCUUUGGCAGACAAACAGAACAAUUGAGGCUACCUGGGCAUUUAAUACAGAAUGCCAGUGGUUCAGCAGUCCUAAGGGCCAGUUUUCUGUCCAAGGGACUCAACGUACAGACUGCAAACAAAUUAUAAACAAACCUGGAAAUGAGAGAAUGUCAACUUUUAGUUUUAAUAAAAAGGCAUGUAAACGGAGU